AACGCGAAGAACCUUACCCAGACUUGACAUGCACAGGACAGGUGUGGAAACACACCCUUCCUUCGGGACCUGUGCACAGGUGCUGCAUGGCUGUCGUCAGCUCGUGUCGUGAGAUGUUGGGUUAAGUCCCGCAACGAGCGCAACCCUUGUCCUUAGUUGCUACCAUUCAGUUGAGCACUCUAAGGAGACUGCCGGUGGUAAACCGGAGGAAGGUGGGGAUGACGUCAAGUCCUCAUGGCCCUUACGUCUGGGGCUACACACGUGCUACAAUGGCCGGUACAAAGGGUUGCAAGACCGCGAGGUGGAGCUAAUCCCAUAAAACCGGUCUCAGUUCGGAUCGGAGUCUGCAACUCGACUCCGUGAAGUCGGAAUCGCUAGUAAUCGCCAAUCAGCAGGUGGCGGUGAAUACGUUCCCGGGUCUUGUACACACAC
rnacentral:rRNA from 1 species